rnacentral:ncRNA from 1 species
AGGAGCCGUGUGAGAUGAAAGUCUCAUGCACGGUUUUGAAUGAGAGAAAGAAGUGAGGAAUCCUCUUUUGGAUCUUUCUUAUGUUUUCAAUGUGCUAAUUAAGAAAAGUGCUGAUAUCAUUCAAAUAUGUGCUAAAAUCAAUUAUCUUGAUUAAUUUUCAU